ACCUCCCAGAUUCUUUAUUCAUCAGACCUAAACACAGGUCUGAGUGAUUACAAAAGGAGGAAAAGUACAAUAGAAACUGACUUCAAUUAUUUGUGACACAUAAGUUAGUUUCAAGCAAAU